rnacentral:rRNA from 1 species
UACAGAGGUGGCAAGCGUUGUUCGGAAUUACUGGGCGUAAAGGGCGCGUAGGCGGUCCGGUAAGUCCUGUGUGAAAUCCCUCGGCUCAACUGAGGAACUGCACGGGAGACUGCCGGGCUUGAAUCCGGGAGAGGGAUGUGGAAUUCCAGGUGUAGCGGUGAAAUGCGUAGAUAUCUGGAGGAACACCGGUGGCGAAGGCGACAUCCUGGACCGGCAUUGACGCUGAGGCGCGAAAGCCAGGGGAGCAAACGGG